CAGCAGCCGCGGUAAUACAGAGGGUGCAAGCGUUAAUCGGAAUUACUGGGCGUAAAGCGCACGCAGGCGGUCUGUCAAGUCAGAUGUGAAAUCCCCGGGCUUAACCUGGGAACUGCAUUUGAAACUGGCAGGCUAGAGUCUUGUAGAGGGGGGUAGAAUUCCAGGUGUAGCGGUGAAAUGCGUAGAGAUCCGGAGGAAUACCGGUGGCGAAGGCGGCCCCCUGGACAAAGACUGACGCUCAGGUGCGAAAGCGUGGGGAGCAAACAGGAUUAGAGACCCCUGUAGUCCCUGUCUCUUAUAC
rnacentral:rRNA from 1 species